UACGUAGGGGCCGAGCGUUGUCCGGAUUCAUUGGGCGUAAAGAGCUCGUAGGCGGUCGCGUAAGUCGGGUGUGAAAUCUCCGGGCUCAACCCGGAGGGGCCACCCGAUACUGCUCGACUUGAGUCCGGUAGGGGAGUGGGGAAUUCCUGGUGUAGCGGUGAAAUGCGCAGAUAUCAGGAGGAACACCGGUGGCGAAGGCGCCGCUCUGGGCCGGUACUGACGCUGAGAAGCGAAAGCGUGGGGAGCAUACAGG
rnacentral:rRNA from 1 species